rnacentral:rRNA from 1 species
CGCAAGCCUGAUGCAGCGACGCCGCGUGAGGGAUGACGGCCUUCGGGUUGUAAACCUCUUUCAGCAGGGACGAAGCGCAAGUGACGGUACCUGUAGAAGAAGGACCGGCCAACUACGUGCCAGCAGCCGCGGUAAUACGUAGGGUCCGAGCGUUGUCCGGAAUUACUGGGCGUAAAGAGCUCGUAGGUGGUUUGUCGCGUUGUUCGUGAAAACUCACAGCUCAACUGUGGGCGUGCGGGCGAUACGGGCAGACUUGAGUACUGCAGGGGAGACUGGAAUUCCUGGUGUAGCGGUGGAAUGCGCAGAUAUCAGGAGGAACACCGGUGGCGAAGGCGGGUCUCUGGGCAGUAACUGACGCUGAGGAGCGAAAGCGUGGGGAGCGAACAGGAUUAGAUACCCUGGUAGUCCACGCCGUAAACGGUGGGUACUAGGUGUGGGUUUCCUUCCUUGGGAUCCGUGCCGUAGCUAACGCAUUAAGUACCCCGCCUGGGGAGUACGGCCGCAAGGCUA